GCCCCUUUAGCUCAGUGGUAGAGCGUUCCACUCGUACCAAACUGAAUCUAUUAAAUGAUGAAGUUGAAUAUGGAAAGGUCUGGUGUUCAAUCCACCAAAAGGGCA